CACCAGCGCCUCGAGUGGGGAUCGCGAUUAUUGGGCCUAAAGCGUCCGUAGCAGGUCAUGUAAAUUCCUUGUGAAAUCGGCAGGCUUAACCUGUCGACGUGCAGAGAACACUGCAAGACUUGAGACUGGGAGAGGUCAAAAGUAUUCCUUGGGUACCGGUAAAAUGGGUUAAUCCAGGGAGGACUACCAAUGGCGAAGGCAUUUGACCAGAACAGUUCUGACUGUGAGGGACGAAAGCUAGGGGAGCAAAACG
rnacentral:rRNA from 1 species